rfam:Triticum urartu cultivar G1812 contig308891, whole genome shotgun sequence.
CGGAUUAUGGCUGAGCGGUAAAGCGCUUUCUUUGGGAGAAAGAUACCCUAAGUUCGAAUCUUAGUAACCCGA